UACGGAGGGUGCGAGCGUUAAUCGGAAUUACUGGGCGUAAAGCGUGCGCAGGCGGUUUGUUAAGCGAGAUGUGAAAGCCCCGGGCUCAACCUGGGAACCGCAUUUCGAACUGGCAAACUAGAGUCUUGUAGAGGGGGGUAGAAUUCCAGGUGUAGUGGUGAAAUGCGUAGAGAUCUGGAGGAAUACCGGUGGCGAAGGCGGCCCCCUGGACAAAGACUGACGCUCAGGCACGAAAGCGUGGGGAGCAAACAGG
rnacentral:rRNA from 1 species